UCCCUUGUGGCUCAGACAGUAAAGCGUCUGCCUACAAUGCAGGAGACCAGGGUUCAAUCCCUGGGUUGGAA
rnacentral:tRNA from 1 species